UACGGGGGGGGCAAGCGUUGUUCGGAAUUACUGGGCGUAAAGGGCCAGUAGGCGGCCAACUAAGUCGGACGUGAAAUCCCCAGGCUCAACCUGGGAACUGCGUCCGAUACUGGAUGGCUUGAAUUCGGGAGAGGGAUGCAGAAUUCCAGGUGUAGCGGUGAAAUGCGUAGAUAUCUGGAGGAACACCGGUGGCGAAGGCGGUUCUCUGGGCCUUACCUGACACUGAGGAGCGAAAGCGUGGGGAGCGAACAGG
rnacentral:rRNA from 1 species